CUUUACUGUAACUUGAAAUUGAAAUUGGACUUUAUUUGCGCAGUAUAGGUGGGAGGCGUUGAAACUAAUCUUGCGGGAUUCGUGGAGCCAUCAGUGAGAUACCACUCCUAUAAUGUUAGAUUUCUAACUUUGUAUCAUGAUCUGGUCAAAGAACAGUUUCAGGCGGGCAGUUUGACUGGGGCGGUCGCCUCCCAAAUGGUAACGGAGGCGUACAAAGGUUUCCUCUGAACGGGUAGAAAUCGUAUCUAGAGUAUAAAGGCAUAAGGAAGCUUGACUGUGAGACCUACAAGUCGAGCAGGGACGAAAGUCGGUCUUAGUGAUCUGACGGUGCUGAGUGGAAAGGCCGUCACUCAACGGAUAAAAGUUA
rnacentral:rRNA from 1 species